AAUCAGCAUGCUAAUGAGCACCAGAAGGUCGUUACAGAAAAGAGAGGUUCAAAGAUGUAUAACAUAGAGGAGAAGAUGAAGACUCCUCCAUUCUUUGGAGCUCAAGAAAUAGAUCACAUUUGGUUUUUUGGUGGAUCAGGCUCUUCUCUGCAGGAACUCUGCAUCAGCCGUUCCAGAAAUAAGAAGAUGAGGUGUCUGCAAGAAGAAAAAGAGAAACAAACUACAGAGCAGAAGAUUAUUUAUGAAGAAAUCAUCUUGUCUGUUUUCUCCUCAGAGUUUAUGGCACUUGGCAUUCAGGUUAUUCUCUCUUACAAGGACAGGAAGAAACAGAGAAGAUUCCCUUUCCUUCCACUUCACAAAUCAUCUUCUCCAUCAUGAUGAAUCAGUUAGUGGUCCACUCCAAGAAGAAUCUGGCAAUAAUAUUAUUUUAAUGCAGAGGCCAUCUGGUGGAUAUUUCUUACCAGAAGCCCUUUUGGUAAUAUGACUUUGGAAAACAAUAUGUCCUCUAUUGCUGAAGACAAUGGAUGUUGAUGUUUCCUGAACGUGUUCUGAUGGUUGGUGCUGCUGAUCUUUCAUAACAAGGAAUUCUCAGCCACGUGUCUUCCUUCUUUGCAGUUUUCAGAUAAAUCUCAGGUCUGCUCAUCUCUUUCCUUUCUCACUGUGAAUUAUCAUCAUAUCUUCUCAUAAGCACUUCUAUAAGGCUCUUUUUAAUUUAGAGUCUGGUUCCCUGCUACAUUCACAAUUUCUCCUUUGUUUUGUGCAUCACAGAAUCAUAGAAUCAUAGAAUUGCUUAGGCUGGAAAAGACCCUCAAGAUCAUCAAGUCCAACCACAACCUAACCAUACUACUCUAAGAACCCACCACUAAAUCAUGUCUCUGAGCACUACAUCCAAACGGUUUUUAAACACAUUCAGGGUUGGUGACUCAACCACCUCCCUGGGGAGCCUGUUCCAGUACUUAACAACCCUUUCUGUAAAAAGUUUUUCCUGAUAUCUAACCUGAACCUCCCCUGGCGCAACUUGAGGCUGUUUCCCUUUGUCCUGUCACCUGCAGCCAAUCUUCCUUUUCAUCAGUUGCUUCUAUUUCUCACUCAUAUUAUUAUCUGCAAAAAACUUGUUCUUCAGCUCAGUUUCACUUCUGUUGGAGGACUUAAACUUUGUUUUGUCCUGUUGCUCACAUGCUUACAUGUAACUUUGUGACCAUCUCCACAUACUUGUGUGCAUCAGGUAUCAAAUACUGGUUUGUUUUUG
ensembl:lncRNA